rnacentral:rRNA from 1 species
UACGUAGGGUGCGAGCGUUGUCCGGAAUUACUGGGCGUAAAGAGCUCGUAGGUGGUUUGUCACGUUGUCCGUGAAAACUCACAACUCAAUUGUGGGCGUGCGGGCGAUACGGGCAGACUGGAGUACUGCAGGGGAGACUGGAAUUCCUGGUGUAGCGGUGGAAUGCGCAGAUAUCAGGAGGAACACCGGUGGCGAAGGCGGGUCUCUGGGCAGUAACUGACGCUGAGGAGCGAAAGCGUGGGGAGCGAACAGG